UACGGAGGAUGCGAGCGUUAUCCGGAUUUAUUGGGUUUAAAGGGUGCGUAGGUGGGCUGUUAAGUCAGCGGUGAAAGUCUGUCGCUUAACGAUAGAAUUGCCGUUGAAACUGUCAGUCUUGAGUAUGAACGAAGUAGGCGGAAUGCGAGGUGUAGCGGUGAAAUGCAUAGAUAUCUCGCAGAACCCCGAUUGCGAAGGCAGCUUGCUAGGUCAUAACUGACACUGAAGCACGAAAGCGUGGGUAUCAAACAGGAUUAGAUACCCUGGUAGUCCACGCUGUAAACGAUGAUUACCAGUUGUUUGCGAUAAACAGUAAGCGACAAAGCGAAAGCGUUAAGUAAUCCACCUGGGGAGUACGCCGGCAACGGUGAAACUCAAAGGAAUUGACGGGGGCCCGCACAAGCGGAGGAACAUGUGGUUUAAUUCGAUGAUACGCGAGGAACCUUACCCGGGAAUGAACGCAUUAGGACGUUAUGCGAGAGCAUAAUUCCAGCAAUGGUCUAUUGCGAGGUGCUGCAUGGUUGUCGUCAGCUCGUGCCGUGAGGUGUCGGCUUAAGUGCCAUAACGAGCGCAACCCCUACCGUCAGUUGCCAUCAAGUAAAGUUGGGGACUCUGACGGGACUGCCGGCGUAAGCUGCGAGGAAGGUUGGGAUGACGUCAAAUCAGCACGGCCCUUACAUCCGGGGCGACACACGUGUUACAAUGGCGGGGACAAAGAGCGGCUACCGCGCGAGCGGAUGCAAAUCUCAAAACCCCGUCUCAGUUCGGAUCGGAGUCUGCAACCCGACUCCGUGAAGCUGGAUUCGCUAGUAAUCGCGCAUCAGCCAUGGCGCGGUGAAUACNUUCCCGGGCCUU
rnacentral:rRNA from 1 species